AUUGAACGCUGGCGGCAUGCCUUACACAUGCAAGUCGAACGGUAACGCGGGGCGAACCUGGCGACGAGUGGCGGAACGGGUGAGUAAUGCAUCGGAACGUGCCCAGUAGUGGGGGAGUAGCCCGGCGAAAGCCGGAUUAAUACCGCAUACGACCUACGGGUGAAAGCGGGGGAUCGCAAGACCUCGCGCUAUUGGAGCGGCCGAUGUCAGAUUAGGUUGUUGGUGGGGUAAAAGCCUACCAAGCCGACGAUCUGUAGCUGGUCUGAGAGGACGACCAGCCACACUGGGACUGAGACACGGCCCAGACUCCUACGGGAGGCAGCAGUGGGGAAUUUUGGACAAUGGGGGCAACCCUGAUCCAGCCAUGCCGCGUGCGGGAAGAAGGCCUUCGGGUUGUAAACCGCUUUUGUCAGGGAAGAAACGCUUUGAGCUAAUACCUCGAGGUAAUGACGGUACCUGAAGAAUAAGCACCGGCUAACUACGUG
rnacentral:rRNA from 1 species